AAUGCUUGCAUUCACCGUAAGAAGUUGAGUGGCGGACGGGUGAGUAACACGUGGGUAACCUGCCUAAAAGAAGGGGAUAACACUUGGAAACAGGUGCUAAUACCGUAUAUCUCUAAGGAUCGCAUGAUCCUUAGAUGAAAGAUGGUUCUGCUAUCGCUUUUAGAUGGACCCGCGGCGUAUUAACUAGUUGGUGGGGUAACGGCCUACCAAGGUGAUGAUACGUAGCCGAACUGAGAGGUUGAUCGGCCACAUUGGGACUGAGACACGGCCCAAACUCCUACGGGAGGCAGCAGUAGGGAAUCUUCCACAAUGGACGCAAGUCUGAUGGAGCAACGCCGCGUGAGUGAAGAAGGUCUUCGGAUCGUAAAACUCUGUUGUUAGAGAAGAACACGAGUGAGAGUAACUGUUCAUUCGAUGACGGUAUCUAACCAGCAAGUCACGGCUAACUACGUGCCAGCAGCCGCGGUAAUACGUAGGUGGCAAGCGUUGUCCGGAUUUAUUGGGCGUAAAGGGAACGCAGGCGGUCUUUUAAGUCUGAUGUGAAAGCCUUCGGCUUAACCGGAGUAGUGCAUUGGAAACUGGAAGACUUGAGUGCAGAAGAGGAGAGUGGAACUCCAUGUGUAGCGGUGAAAUGCGUAGAUAUAUGGAAGAACACCAGUGGCGAAAGCGGCUCUCUGGUCUGUAACUGACGCUGAGGUUCGAAAGCGUGGGUAGCAAACAGGAUUAGAUACCCUGGUAGUCCACGCCGUAAACGAUGAAUGCUAGGUGUUGGAGGGUUUCCGCCCUUCAGUGCCGCAGCUAACGCAAUAAGCAUUCCGCCUGGGGAGUACGACCGCAAGGUUGAAACUCAAAGGAAUUGACGGGGGCCCGCACAAGCGGGUGGAGCAUGUGGUUUAAUUCGAAGCAACGCGAAGAACCUUACCAGGUCUUGACAUCCUUUGACCACCUAAGAGAUUAGGCUUUCCCUUCGGGGACAAAGUGACAGGUGGUGCAUGGCUGUCGUCAGCUCGUGUCGUGAGAUGUUGGGUUAAGUCCCGCAACGAGCGCAACCCUUGUUGUCAGUUGCCAGCAUUAAGUUGGGCACUCUGGCGAGACUGCCGGUGACAAACCGGAGGAAGGUGGGGACGACGUCAAGUCAUCAUGCCCCUUAUGACCUGGGCUACACACGUGCUACAAUGGACGGUACAACGAGUCGCAAGACCGCGAGGUUUAGCUAAUCUCUUAAAGCCGUUCUCAGUUCGGAUUGUAGGCUGCAACUCGCCUACAUGAAGUCGGAAUCGCUAGUAAUCGCGAAUCAGCAUGUCGCGGUGAAUACGUUCCCGGGCCUUGUACACACCGCCCGUCACACCAUGAGAGUUUGUAACACCCA
rnacentral:rRNA from 2 species